AAAUCAAGCCACCUUAUGACUUGGAGCACCUGUACAGAAAUAGGAAGGACUUGUGCUCCCUAAAUCUACAAGUCUUUUGCAACGGUGGGGGUGUCAUCAUCCAGCCGACCUCAAAGGGGCCUGGAAGCACGCAUGACAGCCUCAUCUGGGUGGACUGUGCUCUGCCUGGGAGCUUCAAGGGUAGAAAACUGCAUAAUGGCUGGUUGCUAGGUGACUCUCGCUAUGCCUGAGAGCCAUGGGUGCUCACCCUCCUGUCCGUGGCUGGCCCAGCUGAGCAGCAGUGCAGUGCAGCCCCCACCCAUGCAAGAGAGGUCAUACAGUGCACCUUUGGUGUUCUGAGCAGGACACAGCGUAUCCGUCCGGCAUGGCAGUGACAUCAAUAAUAAUGAUGCAGUGCCAUGGGAUCAGGUGCCCCACUGUCAUGUAAUUGUACAGUGCAUCUCGGACAAAACACACAAGGCCAACAAGUAGAGAGCGACUACCAGUGACUGUGUCCUUCUGUUCAAAGUGCACGUCAACAGAAAGAAUGCAUUGUGAUAGUUGGAACAGCUUGAAUUGUAUGGUGAGAAUCUGCACAGCUGCAGUUUAAUCGUUGAGCAGUGCAUCAUUCAGCAAUUCAUUGCACCUGAGGAUUCAAAAUUAAUUAAAUUCUGCAUUUAAUAUACCAAACAUUGACGUUGAUGUAAAUCACACUGUAGUGGUAAUGUGCAAAUUAAUUUCGGCUACCUUGAAUUUUUAACAUGCACGUAACUCAAAGUGCAUGUGUGUCUCUGCAUUUCACUGCCAUUAGAAACAGCAGCCAUGGUCGGCAACCAA